AGGUGGGUCUGAUCUAAACAGAUGAGCCCUUAAAAGGAGAGAACUACUCCAGCUGGAAGCAGAAGGGGACUUCAGAGAGAGGUGGUGUAAGGAGGUCAGAUUCUAAGUGUGAUAAGGAUGUGGCAUGCCAUUGCCGGCUCUGAGAUGUAGAGGCUUGUGUGCUAGGACUGGAGAGAGACCUUAAGAGAAGAAGGGAGGCCACCAGUUGACAGCCAGCAAAGAAAUGGGCCUCAGUCCUACAGCCACAAGCAACUAAUUCUGCCAACAACCUGAAUGAGCUUGGAAGCAGAUUCUUUUCAAAGCCUUCCAGUAAGAGCCAAGCUGGCUGAUACCUUGAUUUUGGCCUCAUGAAGCCAAGAGCAGAGAAAACAGCUGAGCCAGCCUGGAUGUCUGAACUACAGACUGGUCCUGGAACCCUCUUACCUGUCAAUGACUUUCCCUCUUGGAAUUUGAGGGAACAACUGGAAUGCCCCCAGCUUUUCCCACAGAUGAACAGCAGGAGGGCCACUGAUUGGAGACUAACUUGCUGACAGCCCUCCGCCUGACUAAGCAUCACGCAGGAGCAUUGAGAAGCUAACGUGACCAAUAGUGAGCUUCUCACGUCUUAAGAAAUGUGAAAGACACUCACCGCUGCGCAAAGGACUCUUAGAACUUCAGCCCCCAAGGCCACAUGCUCCCCUCCCUGGCUUAUUCUCACAAUGUGUUUUAGACAAACGCUUAGAACUGCAUGUAGGCAAGCUAAUCUGUAACCGGUAGAAAGAAUAACUUGUUAGCAGAAAAUUUAUGUCCUCUGCCCAAAUUGUUCCUUCUGUCCCAGAUAAAGAAGUAACUGAGGUUUACUUAGAUUCCUCAGGAAUGUUGCAUUCAGCAGAUCCGCCAUGGAGAGGCACCCAACUUGCUGCAGUCAUCCAUCACCUGACACUCCUUAGCCCCUUCCCUAACCCCAUUUGCCUUAUAGAAGUCAUUUCCAAAUCGGUUCCCUUUAAGAUGGAUUUUUUAGAACGAUAGUCCACCAUCUUCCAAUAUGCUAGCUUAUCGCUUAUUAAAGUUCUUUCUCUACCACCACCUGCUUGGCCUUUUAUCUUGCAGUGAGCAGAUCAAGCUGUUGCUCAGUAUCAGGUGCAGCAUGUGUUGAGAUAAUCAGGUUAACAGUGAAGUAAUUUCUCUU
rnacentral:lncRNA from 1 species